rnacentral:rRNA from 1 species
CUGACACAGGGAGGUAGUGACAAUAAAUAACAAUGCCGGGCCUUUGUAGGUCUGGCAAUUGGAAUGAGAACAAUUUAAACCCCUUAUCGAGUAUCAAUUGGAGGGCAAGUCUGGUGCCAGCAGCCGCGGUAAUUCCAGCUCCAAUAGCGUAUAUUAAAGUUGUUGCAGUUAAAAAGCUCGUAGUUGGAUUUGUGGUGUACGCAGGCGGCCUGUCACAAUGUGUCGGAGCUUGCUUGCGUCGCCAUCCUUGGGUGGAUCCUGUGUGGCAUUCAGUUGUCGUGCAGGGGAUGCCCAUCGUUUACUGUGAAAAAUUAGAGUGUUCAAAGCAGGCUUAUGCCGUUGAAUAUAUUAGCAUGGAAUAAUAAGAUAGGACCUUGGUACUAUUUUGUUGGUUUGCGCACCAAGGUAAUGAUUAAUAGGGACAGUUGGGGGUGCUGCUAUUAUAUGGCCAGAGGUGAAAUUCACGGAUUCAUAUAAGAGCAA